rnacentral:rRNA from 1 species
CAUAAGUAUAUAAAGAAACUAUUAUGGAAUUUAAGCUAUGUAUUAAAGAGAAUUAUUUAUACAAAUAGAGAUUUAAUAUCCUAUAAGUAUAUAAACUCUAAGAGAAAUCUAAUACUAAACGAAGUGAAUUGAAAUAUCUUAGUAACUUCAGGAAAAGAAAUCAAAAGAGAUUCUAUGAAUAGCGUGAGCGAAAGUAGAGUAGCCUAUAAAGUAGAACGGUACUGAAACUGUUUAAACAUAAUGGGGAACCUUCCUCAAAGGCUAAAUAUAAUACAUAAGCGAUAGUGAAAAGUACCAUGAGGGAACAAAAACAAAAAUAGUAGUUUUAUAAGCAGUUCGAGGCGCAAGCUAUAGAACGUACCUUUUGCAUAAUGGGUCACCAAGUUAACAUUAGAUGCGAGUUCACGCGUAGUUAAACCGAACGUUAAAAUAACGAAAUAGUGUCUAAAGUUAGACCCGAAGCACGGUGAUUUUACCAUGGUCAGGAUUAUAAAAGUCCGAACGGGUGAUUGUAGCAAAAAUCUCCGAAGAACUGUGGUAGGUGUAGUGAAAGACAACACUGACUGUGAUAGCUGGUUUUCUGCGAAACCUAUAAUAGUAGGCAAUUUAAGUGAAUAUCUUAGCAGGUACAGAAUUUAAUCUCAGACAAGACGCGUAUGCGUUUUAUAUUGUACAAAUUGGGGGAUCGUAAAGAUUUUAUCAGUGAGUAUGUAGACUCGGAAUGGCAAAGAUAUGUCUUAAAUUAUCAGACAUAGAAUGAUAAGGUUGUAUGUCGAAAGGGAAACAGCCCAGAACAAGAGUUAAGGUUCCUAAAUUAUUAGUUGAGUGAAAUUAAGAAGGUUUUUAUUAAAGUCGACAAGGAGAUAGGCUUAGAAGCAGCCAUAAUUUUAUGACCUCGUAACAGAGCGCUUGUUAAGUUAUAAAAGCAUCGAAAAUUUAACGGAUCUAAACAAUAUACCGAAACCUUGUCCAUAAUACAUUGUAUUAAUAAGCUUUAAUAUAAUUAAAUGGGGUAGCAGAACGUUGAGCUAGAUUACGAUUUCUAUUUUUUAAAUAGAAUGAUAAUAAUUUAACUCAAGUGAGAAUGGUGACAUGAGUAACUAAAAGAAAAUUUUCCGCCUUAAGCUUAUGGAUAUAAUUAAGUAACGGCCUCUAAGUUUAUAUUAUCUAAAGAUUUAAACGAUGAGAAAAUCUUUUUUACUAAGGACAACAUUUUAGUGUAAAAUGUGCUGGAAAAAUAGUAAAUAUAUUUAUAAGCGCAAGCUUAUAAACGAAGAAUAACCGUACCUAGAAUCUGAAACAAGUAAGCUAGUAGAGAAUACGAAGGCGUAAAUGAGCUAACAAUCAUAAAGGAACUCGGCAAAUUGACUACCGUAACUUCGGAAUAAGGAGGGCUCAUUAUUCCUGAUUAAUAUCAGGUAAAGAGGAAGAAGCAUGAAAUAAUGUUGUACGACUGUUUAAUUAAAACACAGCACUUUGCUGAAAGAUUAAAAAUCUAAGUAUAAAGUGUGAUAUCUGCCCGGUGCCGGCUGGUUAACAGAGAUAAUUGAAUAUACUACUAUUUGAUGUCGACGGAAACCCCGGUUAAAGGCGGCCUUAACGUGAGGGUCCUAAGGUAGCGAAAUGCCUUGGCCGUUAAAUGCGGUCUUGCAUGAAUGGUGUAACGAUACAACAGCUGUCUCUAUGAUUGACUCAGUGAAAUUGGAAUAGCUGUGCAGAUACAGCUUACCUCUAGUUAGACGAGAAGACCCUAUGCAGCUUUACUGUCACUAAUUAUAGAGUAUGAUAGACAAUUUUCAGAUUAUAAGGUAAUUGACGAUAUGGCAAUGAGAAUCCUUUAUUUUUCUUUCAUAUGAAUGAAUUGGUUUAGGAUUAUGAGUAAAUUAUAAUUGAUGUGGCUUUACUGAGCUAUUUUUAUACAUUAAUUAUAAUUUUUAAAUUAUUAUAUAGCUCAUUUUAGUAGACCAGCCUAAUUCAACUUAUUAUUUAAUAAUAGUAAGUACCCUUUGGCAAGGAACUAUCGCUAGGGGACAGUUUAUGUGGGGCACAGACCCUGUAAAGAGUAAACAGGAGUGUCUAAAAAUUUAUAAUUAUUUUGUUUGCUAUUUUAAGUAGAGAGCUCGCGCCUCUAUUUUUAAUCAUAUACAAUUAUUUAUAUUUGCAUUGUUGUAAAUAUAUUUAAGUUUAGGUAGGAUUUUCACUAUAUAGAAAUUAGAGAUAAUUGAGAAUAUUAUGAAGUUUUCUAAUAUUUUCUAGCUAUUAUUGCUUAGGCA